rnacentral:rRNA from 1 species
UACGUAGGCAGCAAGCGUUGUUCGGAGUUACUGGGCGUAAAGGGUGUGUAGGCGGUUGCUUAAGUUUGGUGUGAAAUCUCCCGGCUCAACUGGGAGGGUGCGCCGAAUACUGAGUGACUCGAGUGCGGGAGAGGAAGGUGGAAUUCCUGGUGUAGCGGUGAAAUGCGUAGAUAUCAGGAGGAACACCGGUGGUGUAGACGGCUUUCUGGACCGUAACUGACGCUGAAACACGAAAGCGUGGGUAGCAAACAGG